UACGUAGGGUGCAAGCGUUAAUCGGAAUUACUGGGCGUAAAGCGUGCGCAGGCGGUUUUGUAAGUCUGACGUGAAAUCCCCGGGCUUAACCUGGGAAUUGCGUUGGAGACUGCAAGGCUGGAGUCUGGCAGAGGGGGGUAGAAUUCCACGUGUAGCAGUGAAAUGCGUAGAGAUGUGGAGGAACACCGAUGGCGAAGGCAGCCCCCUGGGUCAAGACUGACGCUCAGGCACGAAAGCGUGGGGAGCAAACAGG
rnacentral:rRNA from 1 species